AGCACUAUAUUUAAACCUAGGAUGGGAAUUUUCCCCAUCCUGGGUUACGCUGUAGUGCAAAAGAAUUCCUGGCUCCUUUAUGUUGCUCAGCUAACCUGUGCCAUUUUGCUGUUGCUUUAUGGAGUUAAGGAACAUGA
rnacentral:snoRNA from 1 species